rnacentral:rRNA from 1 species
UACGUAGGGUGCGAGCGUUGUCCGGAAUUACUGGGCGUAAAGAGCUCGUAGGUGGUUUGUCGCGUUGUUCGUGAAAUCUCACGGCUUAACUGUGAGCGUGCGGGCGAUACGGGCAGACUAGAGUACUGCAGGGGAGACUGGAAUUCCUGGUGUAGCGGUGGAAUGCGCAGAUAUCAGGAGGAACACCGGUGGCGAAGGCGGGUCUCUGGGCAGUAACUGACGCUGAGGCACGAAAGCGUGGGGAGCAAACAGG